rnacentral:tRNA from 1 species
UGGGCCGUCGACAAGUGGCAAGUCACGGGGCUUUGGUCCCCGUAUUCGAAGGUUCGAAUCCUUCCGGCCCAG